UACGGAGGAUCCAAGCGUUAUCCGGAUUCACUGGGCUUAAAGGGUGCGUAGGCGGAAUGACAAGUCAGUGGUGAAAACCUGCAGCUUAACUGUAGAACUGCCAUUGAUACUGUUAUUCUUGAGUACAUUUGAUGUGAGUGGAAUGUGUCGUGUAGCGGUGAAAUGCUUAGAUAUUGCUCGGAAGGCCAACGGCGAAGGCAGGUUACUGGUGCGCAACUGACACUGAGGCACGAAAGCGUGGGGAGCAAACAGG
rnacentral:rRNA from 1 species